GCGGGCGUGGCGGAACUGGCAGACGCGCAGGAUUCAGGUUCCUGUUCUCGCAAGAGAGUGGAGGUUCGACUCCUCUCGCCCGCA
rnacentral:tRNA from 2 species